GACGAACGUUGGCGGCGUGCUUAAACAUGCAAGUCAACUGAAGCAGUGGUAGCAAUAUCGCUGUGGAGGUGGCGCACGGGUGAGUAACACGUAGGUAAUCUGCCUUCAGGUCUGGCAUAACUCCGGGAAACCGGGGCUAAUAGCAGAUGAUGCAGCGGCUCGACAUCGAGACAGUUGUUAAAGCUAUGGCGCCUGAAGAUGAGCCUGCGUCUGAUUAGCUAGUUGGCGGGGUAACGGCCCACCAAGGCAACGAUCAGUAGCUGGUCUGAGAGGAUGAUCAGCCACACUGGAACUGAGACACGGUCCAGACUCCUACGGGAGGCAGCAGUAAGGAGUAUUGCUCAAUGGGAGAAAUCCUGAAGCAGCAACGCCGCGUGAGGGACGAAGGGCUUUUGCUUGUAAACCUCUGUAGUGAGAGAAAAAAAUCCCAAUCUUUGGGACAUGAUGGUAUCUCAAAAGUAAGCCCCGGCUAACUACGUG
rnacentral:rRNA from 1 species